rnacentral:lncRNA from 1 species
UCGACCAGGUCGUUCCCAGGAAAGAUGGGGCUUUCCAAUAAGGAUUUCUCCCUAUUGGCGCGCAAUUAGGUGACAAAACCUCUCCAUGACAGAACUUCUAGUCAUCGUUAAUAUUGCAAAUAAUAAUAUUAAUAACUUUGUCAUCUUAAUUAUUAAAUUAAUAAUAUAUAAAAUAUUGACAAUAAUUGAAUCAAAUAAUGUGAGAUACUAUGUAGCAAUUACUGUAGCAAAAAUUGAACAAAAUUGAGUGACUUCUCACGUAAGCAUCAAUAAUCAAUACCGUGUGCUACUAUGCAACCACGCGUAUUACUGUAUUUUUAACACCGGGUGUUUCAACAGUUAAUGGUAAAACUUCCGCCGUUAUUUUUAUAAAAAUAUUUUUGUAAUUUUCUCAAUCCGACAAUAAUUCCAUUGUGGGGUCCACCAAUGAUUGUGACGUCGUACGAAUAUUCCCUGUUAAAACGAAUAUUCCCCGACCAAUCGAAUAUUAUAUAACAACUUGCA